rnacentral:rRNA from 1 species
CGGGGUGAGUAAUGUAUGGGGAUCUGCCUGAUGGCGGGGGAUAACUACUGGAAACGGUAGCUAAUACCGCAUAACGUCGCAAGACCAAAGAGGGGGACCUUCGGGCCUCUUGCCAUCGGAUGUGCCCAGAUGGGAUUAGCUAGUAGGUGGGGUAACGGCUCACCUAGGCGACGAUCCCUAGCUGGUCUGAGAGGAUGACCAGCCACACUGGAACUGAGACACGGUCCAG